CAAAGAUGACAAAUAACUUUUCUCCAUGUUCCAGUUCUGCACAUCAUCUGAGUGUCCUUUGGCAGCAACAGUUGGCCCAAGCCUUGCAGCAGCAGCUGGUAUAUUUUCCAGGAGAGAAUAGGAAGAAAAAGGAGCUGCAGCCAUGCAUUUGCUUUUAAGAAGCACAGGAGGCACUGUGAUACCAAACCUUCCUUGGCUCGACUUUGGCAUAUGGCCACCAACAGAUGAAGAUCUUGUACAAAAAAAUCUCAUCUUCUUUCAAAUAGCAAGAUUUUCUCUACUGAAUGCAUUUAUGUGGGCCUGCAGGUGGGCAUGAGCUGGUCUUCCUCCACUGGGUACCAAGGAAGGAGAGACUGCAUCUCCAGGCAAGAGCUGCAUUUAUAUAUUUAUUUAGAAGCAACUCUGAGCAACAGCACAUUUAAGAGUUUGGCUCAU